UACGAAGGGGGCUAGCGUUGUUCGGAAUUACUGGGCGUAAAGCGCACGUAGGCGGGUUGUUAAGUCAGGGGUGAAAUCCCGGAGCUCAACUCCGGAACUGCCUUUGAUACUGGCGAUCUUGAGUCCGGAAGAGGUGAGUGGAACUCCGAGUGUAGAGGUGAAAUUCGUAGAUAUUCGGAAGAACACCAGUGGCGAAGGCGGCUCACUGGUCCGGUACUGACGCUGAGGUGCGAAAGCGUGGGGAGCAAACAGG
rnacentral:rRNA from 1 species